CCCUCUCUCUCUCUCUCUCUCUCUCUCUCACGCGCACGGCAGCAGGCGGCGGCGGCGGCGCACACGCACCGGAAGCGGCGGCGAGGACAGCCGCAAUAGUUCGAGGGGGUAAUUCGUACUUUUUCCUUUUACUUAUCUAGAAAAUGCAAACAAUAAAAUCUGAAAGCUGUGUAAUUGGGGAUUGAACACCUUUGCAUAACUUCUUAUAAACAUCUCACUUUUCUCAUAUCUGCGUCUAUUCAGGGCAGAUUUAUUUGCAUGUUGCUGAAUGGUGACUAUGUGGCUGGGUGCAUUUCACUUUACUCAUUGUCUACCAGUGAUCAGAGCAGACCUUUUUUGCCUGUUGAGUAAAUUGUGGCCUUUGUGGCAGGGCGUAUACAUUUAUGUGUCUCAUAAUUUGUUGUCUUGUACUCUUGUAGAAUAUUGCAAUUAUACUCUUGUAGAUUAAAUUUGUGCAAGUAAGUAAUCUAUUGUUGUUGGCGGCUCGGCUGGUACGCUUUCGAGAAUUUAAUCUCUUUCUUUCUUUUGCAAAAUGAGUAGAAUUUCAGCCUUCUUGGAGAGGUUUGUUCUCUUUGCCUGGUUACUAGAUAGCCUAGAAGAGCAUUUUUUAAAUUUAUUUAGUCAAAAGUGAUUUUUAGUGAUAUUUCCAGAAACUGUGCUAAAAAUUACCAUGUUUCUAUAUCCAGGUUCCAGCUCAUUCUUUUCAUUUUGAUAAGCAAACUAGGUGUCCUUUUUUCAUAAGCAGGAAGGGAAAUCUUAGGAUAAAUUAGUACCCUUCCUGUUUUUAAAAUUUAUUAUAAGAUACGUUGAAGUAUUCUUUUGAAAUAAAAUUGGAAUUUAAAGCAAUCUUCCAGGCCGUUAAUUGGGGCCAUACAGACUGGGUCUUCACUUUUCUAAUGCCUUUCGGUCUGAAUUAUGUUUCGUAUAGCUGCUCCUUUUCUUUUCAGGGCAGGAAGCUGCACCUCGUCCAUGUUGUGCUGUCCAGGGUCCAGGCUCCAGGCUCGCUUGCAACUGUGGGCAAAUCUCGUGGUAUUUCGUGGCCGCUACUCCACCAUUUCAUGCUAAGCAGCUAAUGCCUGUCGGGCUAAUGGCAUCACGCAUUUCAUUAGCUACUGACAAAAAAUGAUAUUCUCUCCUCCUGAUGAUGGUUGCCAGCAGUGAGCGUUACAGUGAACUGCUCCUUUCCAAUGGAGCCUUGGCACGAAAGCGACCUGGAUUUUUCGAGGCUGCCACUACGUGACAACAAUUGUGAUAGGCAGUUUGGUGGUGGCCGCAUGCAGCUGCUUGCCUUGACUGAAAAUUGAUUUUCCAGCUUGUGACCACUGUUUCUGGCUGUCAGCUUGCUCCGGAGAUACAUACCAUGUGACCCCAUGGAUCAGUGGCAUGGAAUUCCUUUGGUGUUUUCAGGUUGCUUGAAUUUCUGGGAAGCUUCCUGUUAGGCUACAACGUUAACAGUGUUUGAGCCAGUUCGUUUUUAGUACUCCGUACAUUUCAAUCCGUGGUAAGACCUGAAAAAAUUUCACGUGUGUAGCCAUGCUCUGAUUUAAGCCUGUUCGGUCGCUUUGUACAGCAGUACAGGCCAGGUCAUCUGCAUUGGUUGCUGGGUGUCCGUAUACGAUUUUACCUGUGCCUGGUCACCUGGCCUUGCUGCCUUGCAUAUGAUAAGCUGUA